GUAGGGAAUCUUCCACAAUGGACGAAAGUCUGAUGGAGCAAUGCCGCGUGAGUGAAGAAGGGUUUCGGCUCGUAAAACUCUGUUGUUAAAGAAGAACACUCUUGAGAGUAACUGUUCAGGAGUUGACGGUAUUUAACCAGAAAGCCACGGCUAACUACGUGCCAGCAGCCGCGGUAAUACGUAGGUGGCAAGCGUUGUCCGGAUUUAUUGGGCGUAAAGCGAGCGCAGGCGGUCUUUUAAGUCUGAUGUGAAAGCCUUCGGCUUAACCGGAGAAGUGCAUCGGAAACUGGGAGACUUGAGUGCAGAAGAGGACAGUGGAACUCCAUGUGUAGCGGUGGAAUGCGUAGAUAUAUGGAAGAACACCAGUGGCGAAGGCGGCUGUCUAGUCUGUAACUGACGCUGAGGCUCGAAAGCAUGGGUAGCAAACAGGAUUAGAAACCCUAGUAGUCC
rnacentral:rRNA from 1 species